GCUGCGGUAGCUCAGUUGGAAUAGCAUUGAGACUCGUAAUCCAAGGGUCGCGGGUUCAAGUUGUGUACAAGCCCAUACUAAGCA